rnacentral:lncRNA from 1 species
CGCUGACGUCACCGCGCCGCGGAGGGGGCCGAGCACGUGUAGGAGCACGGCGCGGGGGAGUGGAAGGCCAUGAACAGAGGUGGAUGACUAUGGAUGGGAGUGGAUGGAUAUGGACAAGGGGUCCCCCAGGUUGCCCACUGCGUGCGUGUGGGCAAUCAGAGAUUUACGGCGGUGCUGAGGCGCGGAGGGAGAACGGCGAGCACAUUUCUGCCACAAACUGCUGCUUUCAGGGAUCAUUCCACUCGACUGGCCGCG